CCCAGGUAGGCUGAAUCUGCUUGGAAGAAGCACAUCUGGCAUAAGCCAAGAGCCAGGACCCUGUGUGGUCAUUUCCGUGCCUGGCCCCAUGGGAAGGCAGCACUAGCAGUUGAGAUGCCCUCAUCCACAGCAUUCCGUGCUUGUCACAGGAACCAACUCCAAAGGCUGAAACAGACAAUGGCUCACUAUGGGACCAAACAAGAGUCUUCAAAACUCAAUCUAUGAAGAAGCCCUAAUCAAAUCAAAGAAAUCAGACAGUAAACAAUACUGGAAAGUGAUCUAACUCAUGUUCUAUAAACUAACAGACUAAAGAACCCCGCUGACAGGGCUGAUAUACUACCAAAAGAGUUCUAUCUUCCUACACAAUCCUUCUCCUCAGGGCAAAUCACCAAAGUUCUGAGAGACUCACAGCAUGGCAGAGAAGCCUAUGCCAGUAACGGCAACCCUAAGAUUCAUGUUAAUAAACCCUGGCUGUGAAGAUUAAAACAGUUCCUUAGACCUCCAUUGAAUCAAUUGCCUUUUUAGACACCGAGAAUAAGCUGGCGCAUGUGAAGAGACUGCCUAUGAUUUCAAACCACUAUCACUGAUUACUCAUCAUACUUAAGCAGCAAGUCAAGAGUGACCAGAAGGGGAUAGGAAUGAUUACUUGCCUCCUCAUUCCUCAAGCACUAAAGUCAAACAAGACUAAAGAUGCCAUUGGAACAAAAGUCAAACAAUCUCAUCUACCCAAACAUGAAGUUAGCAAAGUUUAAAGUAUACUCUGUGUCUGGAAACAACAUGAUCUCUUCAUUGCACUGUACCAGUGAUCUGAGAACCAGGGGAAGUCAACUAGAGAUCAUAGGCUUGAAAUGGGAAAGAGAAACUAGUCAAGAGGAACCUUUGUUGUCAGCAAAGGAAGCAUAGCACUUUAGUACCAUCUAAGAGCUUUAUAACCUCCACAGGGAAAAGGACUGUGAUGUUUGGCUAGGGAAAAGGAAAA